GGGUAAGUGAUGAGAACUUAUAUUGCUGAAGACAGAUGAUGACAUAAACAUCAUCCUCAGUAGGAAUAUGUUGAUGCCU